GACGAACGCUGGCGGCGUGCCUAAUACAUGCAAGUUGAGCGCUGAAGGUUGGUACUUGUACCAACUGGAUGAGCAGCGAACGGGUGAGUAACGCGUGGGGAAUCUGCCUUUGAGCGGGGGACAACAUUUGGAAACGAAUGCUAAUACCGCAUAAAAACUUUAAACACAAGUUUUAAGUUCGAAAGAUGCAAUUGCAUCACUCAAAGAUGAUCCCGCGUUGUAUUAGCUAGUUGGUGAGGUAAAGGCUCACCAAGGCGAUGAUACAUAGCCGACCUGAGAGGGUGAUCGGCCACAUUGGGACUGAGACACGGCCCAAACUCCUACGGGAGGCAGCAGUAGGGAAUCUUCGGCAAUGGACGAAAGUCUGACCGAGCAACGCCGCGUGAGUGAAGAAGGUUUUCGGAUCGUAAAACUCUGUUGGUAGAGAAGAACGUUGGUGAGAGUGGAAAGCUCAUCAAGUGACGGGAACUACCCAGAAAGGGACGGCUAACUACGU
rnacentral:rRNA from 1 species